UAAAUACUCCCUUCUUUUAGAAUUACUUAUCGCAGAAAUGAAUGUAUCUAGAUGUAUUUUAGUUUUAGAUACAUUUAUUUUCAAGACAAGUAAUUUCGAACGGAGGGAGUAAUGG
rnacentral:pre_miRNA from 1 species